AGUCACUGACAUUAGAUACCCCCGUAGUCCAGGGCGUAAACGCUGCAGACUUGGUGUUGGAGGCCCUUUGGGGGCAUUCAGUGCCGGAGAGAAGUUGUUAAGUCUGCUACUUGGGGAGUACGUCCGCAAGGAUGAAACUUAAAGGAAUUGGCGGGGGAGCACCGCAACGGGAGGAGCGUGCGGUUUAAUUGGAUUCAACACCGUAAACUCACCAGGGAAGACUGUUACAUGAAGGCCGAGAUGAAGACUCUGCUAGAUUUUCAG
rnacentral:rRNA from 1 species